AGUCCAGCCGCAGGGGCCACCCGAACAGUCUCUCCUCCUCACAGAAGCCUGGAGCUGGGCAUCCAAGAAGAAGCAGCCUCAUUUGUUUUCUGGUGUCAUCGUAGGUGGCCACCUAUGGCUUUUGGGCUUCUCACCUGGGGCGGGUGGGUUCUGCACCACCCUCCCACCCUCCUUCCUCCGUGUGGACGAUAGAGCCACAUCCAGCACCACGGACAGCUCCCGGGCGAUCCCAUGGGAGUAGAAGAGGUGUGAGCAGGUUGCCCAGCUGGUUAGCGGAAAUGCCAAGAUCCAGGCUCCUGAAUUUCAGCCUGGCCCUUUCUAUCUGUCUGAUACCUCCUUUACGAGUCUCUCUGCCUGCGUUGUGUGGAGCGGGCCUGCUGCUGGUUGGGGGAGUUUGCAGGUUGCCCCUAUGCAAAAAAGGACAGGAUGCAUGACUGGCAUGUAAGGUGUUCAGGAAAACCAGGAAAAGGUGGAACAGACUGCUACCUCUGUCUGAAGUGGUUUGGAGGGAAGGCCUCAGGGACAGGGCAUACCUAGCAGUAGCUGGCAAGCCCAUGGGAGAAAAGGCAAGGGGGCAACCAUCUGCCAGGGCACAGAGGCCAGGGGAUGGCCACAAGGAGUCUCCAGAGGCCAGUGGGAGUCAUGCAAACUGGAACGGGGCCUGGGAAAGGCCCUUCUGUGUGCCCAGGCCUGCCUCCCCAACACCGUGAGCCUAGAAACAAAGGGGCCAUUCUCUCUAGGAUUUGAUGCUGCCAUCUCCGGCUGGCAGUGCCAGGUGGUGGGGGCAUCGGGGGUGUCAAUCCAUUAUCCCCCCCAACUCCUAGGUCCUCUGAGGCUGGAUGUUGGGGAGGUGGGUGUUCUAUGCUAUGUUGCUAUGGCAACCGCCCCCCCACCCCCAAAGUACAAAGAGAGGCAGCUUUCACCCCUACCCCCAGGAAGAACCUGGGUCUGGCUGGGAAUCUUCCCUUGAGAAUCCUCCUUUCUGAUGCACAAGCCAUGGCAUGCAUAAGCGUCACCCUCUUUUCAGCACUGGAAGCUGAGGGUUUUGACAGCGGCAGGCCACAUAGGCAAGGAAGCUGGUGCAUGCAGUGUCUCUGGGCAAGGUUAUGCAACCUUCAUCUCCUCGUCCUCCAGGCAGCACAAGCCAUUGUGGAAUCUCCACCAGGUGUACAGAACGGUGCCUCUGCGUCCUGCCACUCAGGACCUCUCAAGUCCCCGAUGUGAUGGCUCCUCAGCAUGAUCAGGAACCAAAAAGAAGAAUGUACUUCAUCUGGUUGGGCUGGAUUCCCUCUGAUAAGCCUUCCCAGUUGACUGAAAGAUGAGGCUAGGCUCUAGCAAGUUGAAGUCAAACCAGCUCCUUCAAGAAGCUUUGAGCAGAAUGAAGUGGGGAGGACCCAGCUUCCAGCCCAGGAAGCCCACUGUACCUGGAGCCAUCUGGGAUAAGACUUUGACCCAUGACUCCCAUAUCCACAGCCUGUCCAUCCUAGCCCAUCCCAGUUUAUCCUGUAUCAUUUGAGCUGGGAUUCCCACAUCCUCUGAGUUGGAAGUCCCAUCUCAAGUCUUCAAUAAAGACUCUUGAAUAUUGAAUCACA
ensembl:lncRNA MIR9-1HG MIR9-1 host gene